GACGAACGCUGGCGGCGUGCUUAACACAUGCAAGUCGAACGGAAAGGCCCCUUUGGGGGUCCUCGAGUGGCGAACGGGUGAGUAACACGUGAGUAACCUGCCCUUGACUUCGGGAUAACUUCAGGAAACUGGGGCUAAUACCGGAUAGGAAUCCUUGCUGCAUGGUGGGGGUUGGAAAGCUUCGGCGGUUUUGGAUGGACUCGCGGCUUAUCAGCUUGUUGGUGGGGUAGUGGCUUACCAAGGCUUUGACGGGUAGCCGGCCUGCGAGGGCGACCGGCCACAUUGGGACUGAGAUACGGCCCAGACUCCUACGGGAGGCAGCAGUGGGGAAUAUUGCACAAUGGGCGGAAGCCUGAUGCAGCAACGCCGCGUGCGGGAUGACGGCCUUCGGGUUGUAAACCGCUUUCAGCAGGGGCGAAGCUUGUGGUGACGGUACCUGCAGAAGAAGCACCGGCUAACUACGUG
rnacentral:rRNA from 1 species